AUUCUUUGUAAUCUUGGUGAAUGGCAUUAGUUUUGGCUGGAUUCACUGUAAGGCCGAAGAAACAAUAAAUUGGGUUUAACUAAGGCCUCUUCCUUCAAGUUAUAUGGAAAGGGGGUCUAAUCAUUAAGUGUGAGCUUAAUAAACCCAUACAUUCCAUGACAAUAU